AAUAUAUNNNNNNNNNNNNNNNNNNNNCCCCCCCCCCCCCCCCACUGGCACUUUUCCAAUGGUCCGCCCCUCGUCCCAUACUAAUUCGUAAUUCAGGAAAUUGACCAAUCAUUUGGGUUACAUGAUAUACAUUAUAUUGGAGACAUUAUGUUAAGGUUGUUAAUGCAGAACAACCCUAAAACUUGGUAUAAAUCCAUUCCUUGCUAGGAAGGGAUAGAAUUUCGAUGUAUACAAGCGCUUCAUACGAUGCUUACACUUGGAUUUCAAAUCCUAUCAUGAUUAUCCCGUUCUCAAUCAGUCGUAAUUGAAAUACGCAACAUUCGUACGUCAUUUCAUUCAUGUAAAGAAUUAGCCUUCCAUAUUUAGGUGUUAUAUUUUUAUACUUCAAGUUGAUGUGGUGUACGUAAAAUGUUCUUUUGC
rnacentral:lncRNA from 1 species